GACGAACGCUGGCGGCGUGCUUAACACAUGCAAGUCACGGGGGCCCGCAAGGGUAACCGGCGAACGGGUGCGUAACACGUGAGCAACCUGCCGAUCUGAGGGGGAUAGCCGGCCCAACGGCCGGGUAAUACCGCAUACGUUCUCGAGGGGACAUCCCCAUGAGAAGAAACCUCCGGGGCAGAUCGAGGGGCUCGCGGCCUAUCAGCUAGUUGGUGUGGGUAACGGCCCACCAAGGCGACGACGGGGUAGCNGGUCUGAGAGGAUGGCCAGCCACAUUGGGACUGAGAGACGGCCCAGACUCCUACGGGAGGCAGCAGUGGGGAAUCUUGCGCAAUGGCCGAAAGGCUGACGCAGCGACGCCGCGUGUGGGAUGAAGCAUUUCGGUGUGUAAACCACUGUUGCCCGGGACGAACAGCUCUUUUCGAGGAGCCUGACGGUACCGGGUGAGGAAGCACCGGCUAACUCCGUGCCAGCCGCCGCGGUAAC
rnacentral:rRNA from 1 species